GACUUUGAAAAGAUGGUGGGUAUGAAUGGUAUAUUGUUUCACGACAUGUUGGACUUGUUCUUUCGAUCCGAAUACCAUUUCUUUCUUAACUUUUUAUUCCCACGAAAGAAUGGAUGUUUUGGCAAUGCUCCUUGAGAUGCUGUCUCAUCGUCAUCGGAUGCAUCAACUAGUCUGAAUUAAGGAAUAAGGGGUGCCUCAUGUGGUGGGACAUCCUCUUCUAUACUAGACUCUCUACUACCACUGCCAUC
rnacentral:lncRNA from 1 species